GUUUCGGUGGUGUAGUUGGUUUAUCACGUCAGUCUAACACACUGAAGGUCGGGAGUUCGAGCCUCCCCUGAAUCA
rnacentral:tRNA from 2 species